rnacentral:rRNA from 1 species
CCUACGGGUGGCAGCCGUGGGGAAUCUUGGACAAUGGGCGAAAGCCUGAUCCAGCCAUGCCGCGUGUGUGAAGAAGGCCUUCGGGUUGUAAAGCACUUUCAGUGGGGAAGAAAGCCUUGGGGCUAAUACCCUCGAGGAAGGACAUCACCCACAGAAGAAGCACCGGCUAACUCCGUGCCAGCAGCCGCGGUAAUACGGAGGGUGCGAGCGUUAAUCGGAAUUACUGGGCGUAAAGCGCGCGUAGGCGGUCUGAUAAGCCGGUUGUGAAAGCCCCGGGCUCAACCUGGGAACGGCAUCCGGAACUGUCAGGCUAGAGUGCAGGAGAGGAAGGUAGAAUUCCCGGUGUAGCGGGGAAAUGCGUAGAGAUCGGGAGGAAUACCAGUGGCGAAGGCGGCCUUCUGGACUGACACUGACGCUGAGGUGCGAAAGCGUGGGUAGCAAACAGGAUUAGAUACCCGAGUAGUC